AUCUACACAAGAAACAAAUACCCAGUCGAGGUGACACGUAUUGAAGCGUUAGGAGUUAUUUCUUUUUUCAAAAACACGAAGAUCGAAUCUGAUGGUUUCAAAAAACACAAAGAAGCGGUGAGAGAGGGUUUAGGAUCCUCUGACUUGCUUGACUUUAGUAUACAUAGCAUCUUUUUGGGGUUUAUAUUAUAUCGAAGGUUAAUUUUGAAUUUGAAUAAAAAAUGAUGCAAUUAAUAUAGGUUAGAAUCAAGGCCCAUAUUGAUUUCUGAUUUCUAAGACAGAUGGUGAUGGUAAUGGUAAUGCUAAUGGUAAUGGAAG
rnacentral:lncRNA from 1 species